CAGUCGCCACGGUAAUACGAAGGUCCCGAGCGUUGUUCGGAAUCACUGGGCGUAAAGGGAGCGUAGGCGGCGUGGUAAGUCAGAUGUGAAAUCCCGGGGCUCAACCCCGGAACUGCAUCCGAUACUGCUGUGCUAGAGGAUUGGAGAGGUAGCUGGAAUUCUUGGUGUAGCAGUGAAAUGCGUGGAGAUCAAGAGGAACACUCGUGGCGAAAGCGAGCUACUGGACAAUAUCUGACGCUGAGGCACGAAAGCGUGGGGAGCAAACAGGAUUAGAUACCCCUGUAGUCCCUGUCUCUUAUAC
rnacentral:rRNA from 1 species